CCAUCAGCUCGUUGGUGGGGUAAUGGCCUACCAAGGCGACGACGGUUAGGGGACCUGAGAGGGUGACCCCCCACACUGGUACUGACACACGGACCAGACUUCUACGGAAGGCAGCAGUAAGGAAUAUUGCCCAAUGGACGCAAGUCUGAGGCAGCAACGCCGCGUGCGGGAAGAAGGUCUUCGGAUCGUAAACCGCUUUUCUGUAGGGAAGAGACAGGACGGUACCACAGGAAUAAGUCUCGGCUAACUACGUGCCAGCAGCCGCGGUAAACGUAGGAGGCGAGCGUUAUCCGGAUUUUACUGGGCGUUAAGCGCAUUGCAGGCGGGUUUGUAAGUCGUGCGU
rnacentral:rRNA from 1 species